rnacentral:lncRNA from 1 species
ACGCAGUUCAAAAGCACCUAAUUCUUUGAUGUGAAAUUACCAAGUCGUUUGGUCAUGUGUAUAGCUCUCAGAAAAUUGUGGCAAUCCUUUGGGUGAAGAAAUAAUUCCAAGCUUUGAGCCCUUUUGUUGUCGUCAUGUCGUAAAGGAUGAAAUAAAAAGUGAUGUCAGGCUACCACGGGCAGCACCAAUUCGCGUGGUCUUGUAGAACAGCUUUUCACACUCGUCCUCUUUGGAGGUUAAAAUAUGUUCAUAUUGCAAGGGAACACACAAGAGUAAAUGGGAAGGAAAUGAAACAAUAAAAAAACUUCAAGCAUACCUGGCCUGGAGUUAAUGUCUCACCCAUUUAUUUUAACAGGAGAGAAUGGGCUCCCACUCGUGAAA